UACAGGGGGUGCAAACGUUGCUCGGAAUCAUUGGGCGUAAAGCGCACGUAGGCGGUCUGUUAUGUCGGAUGUGAAAGCCCUUGGCUCAACUGAGGAAGUGCAUCCGAAACUGGCAGGCUAGAGUACUAAAGAGGAUCGCGGAAUUCCCGGUGUAGAGGUGAAAUUCGUAGAUAUCGGGAGGAACACCAGUGGCGAAGGCGGCUCUCUGGACAGAUACUGACACUGAGGCGCGAAAGCGUGGGGAGCGAACAGG
rnacentral:rRNA from 1 species